rnacentral:misc_RNA from 1 species
GAUGAAGAACGCAGCGAAAUGCGAUAAGUAGUGUGAAUUGCAGAAUUCAGUGAAUCAUCGAAUCUUUGAACGCACAUUGCGCCGCUUGGUAAUCCAUGGGGCAUGCCUGUUCGAGCGUCAUUUGUACCUUCAAGCUCUGCUUGGUGUUGGGUGUUUGUCUCGCCUCUGCGUGUAGACUCGCCUCAAAACAAUUGGCAGCCGGCGUAUUGAUUUCGGAGCGCAGUACAUCUCGCGCUUUGCACUCAUAACGACGACGUCCAAAAGUACAUUUUUACACUCUUGACCUCGGAUCAGGUAGGGAUACCCGCUGAACUUAAGCAUAUCAAUAAGCGGAGGA